rnacentral:snRNA from 1 species
GUCUUCGGACAUCUGGUCAAUUUGAAACAAUACAGAGAAGAUUAGCAUGGCCCCUGCACUAAGGAUGACACGCUAUACCAAAGAAAGCUAUCUGUUUUUU